GCAUCAUCAUGGCAAGGGUGAUGCCAUGAUACCAUGAUCACCGAAGUGGUUUGCCCUGGGUGAGGCUUGUCCCUAGCACAACCGGACUUGCUGCAACUCGGUGAAUUUAACAAACGUUCGAAUCUCAACUGCACAAUUUCUGGUAGUGGGGGACUGUGUUCGCGCUCUCCCCUG
rnacentral:snRNA from 1 species